UACGUAGGGGGCUAGCGUUGUCCGGAAUCAUUGGGCGUAAAGCGCGUGUAGGCGGUCCGGUAAGUCCGCCGUGAAAGUCCAGGGCUCAACCCUGGGAUGCCGGUGGAAACUGUCGGGCUAGAGUCCGGAAGAGGCGAGUGGAAUUCCUGGUGUAGCGGUGAAAUGCGCAGAUAUCAGGAGGAACACCAAUGGCGAAGGCAGCUCGCUGGGACGGUACUGACGCUGAGACGCGAAAGCGUGGGGAGCAAACAGG
rnacentral:rRNA from 1 species